rnacentral:rRNA from 1 species
UACGUAGGGUGCGAGCGUUGUCCGGAAUUAUUGGGCGUAAAGGGCUCGUAGGCGGUCUGUUGCGUCGGGAGUGAAAACUCAGGGCUUAACCCUGAGCCUGCUUCCGAUACGGGCAGACUAGAGGUAUGCAGGGGAGAACGGAAUUCCUGGUGUAGCGGUGAAAUGCGCAGAUAUCAGGAGGAACACCUGCGGCGAAGGCGGGUUGCUGGGCUGAUACUGACGCUGAUGCGCGAAAGCCAGGGGAGCGAACGGG